ensembl:lncRNA
GAAUUUAGAGCCCACAGGGCCCUGUGCGUUUCUGGGAUGGUCAGAGCUGGGGAGACAGUGGCCCCGGAGUCCCUUUCUCAUCGGGGCAGGGAAGAAAGCACCCACACUGUUGGAGCACCUCUCCUGUGCCAGGCCCUGUGAGAGAGCCUUACGUUCAUUCGUGUAUUUAAUCCUCAAAACAGCUCCUGGAGGCACCUCCCAUUCUUACUCCCACUUUACACGUGAGCAAACUGAGGCCCAGAGAGCCAAGCCUCUUAUUCAACGUCCACAAGCAGAUCUGGCAGAGUCGGGUCCCCACCCAGCGGUCUGACAACACAUUGCCCACCCGCCCCCCACUGGGUCUCGGGCUAGCUCUAUUUAGGCCAGGCCUUCUCAGAUUGUAACGUGCCUGUGAAUCACCUGGUGAAAAUGUGGGUUCUGGCUCCCGGGGGAUGCCAAAGCCGUCGUCCUCAGACAGGGCCUCCGCAAGGCUCAGUUUAGGAGCCAUCUGCAGGAGCCAUCUGCAAAUACACAGAAGGGAUGAGAGACCAGGCACUCUUGGGGAAGUGGGGCAGGGCCAGACCGCAGGCAGGAGCCGUCCUGUUUUCCAGGCAUUUGGACUCCUGGAUAAUAGAGGCUGCCACGCAAUUGAAUUACAGAGCAAUUGGCUUUUAAUAGAGCUGAGCCCACGAGCACCUGCUAACAGAUUUCUUUGAAAGUGAAGCAGCUGUCCAGUUGCCGCGUUAAUCUCAUUAGGCACCUGCUUGGAAUUACCUUCUAGCAAAUCAGUCGCCCUACCUAACGAGAAUGGAAGCGCUCGCUCUUCACGGGGAACACCUGGGACCGCAGGGCGGCGUCAUUAAAAGCAGAAUGGGGAGAAGCUGGCGGAGGCCCGCUACAAAACGACACCCUUGGGAUUUUGGAGGGCGGGGCGAGUGCAUGUGUAUAAUCCCAGCUCCCUUCAUCCUUCGAAGAAUCUUGUUGAAAACCAGUCAUCGCAGAUCUGUAAUACCAUAAGAAACUCGAGUGUUCUACAAGACAAGGCGUUUAACUUAUUGCUUUUUAAAAAAUCUUGUCUUUCUAAGAUUUAGGUGCUAAAUUAUUUUACUUUACAACAUAGAUGAUAAAUGGCAUUAUUGUUUUUUUUUUACUAUCCUUAGUUGUUAAAAUAAAUAGGCAGCUUUGGAUCAGCCCCUUGAUAUUUUAAAUGAUAUAUAUAUUUUUUUAUUAACUUUUUUUUUUGUGGAAGAUUAGCCCUGAGCUAACAUCUGCCACCAAUCCUCCUCUUUUUGCUGAGGAAGACUGGCCCUGAGCUAACAUCCAUGCCCAUUUUCCUCUACUUUAUAUGUGGGACGCCUACCACAGCAUGGCUUGCCAAGUGGUGCCAUGUCCGCACCCGGGAUCCGAACCGGUGAACUCUGGGCUGCCGAAGCGAAUGUGUGCAGUUAACCGCUGUGCCACCAGGCCGGCCCCAGCCCCUUGAUACUUUAAUUGGCCUGUGAAAUUCACACAUCUGGAAACCCCAACGUUGGGCCAUUUGUGUAAGGAUAUAUAUGCACAAGGAUUGUUGCACGUAAAAGCAAAAGAUGAGAAGCACAUGAAGCACUCAGCCGUAGGGGUUUGCUCAAUUAAUCACACACAGUCAGACAAGCAGGUUACGAAAACAGAGGUCUGUGUGAGCUCCAUGAUAUGUUGCUAAGUGCAGGAAAAAGACACUGUGUAAAGCUGUGGUCGGCUUCUGGUGUGCGUGUUCAAGGGAUGUUCGUGGACUUGAGUAUGGAUUUAGAGAAGAGCUCUGGGAAAAUCCACAAGAGUUCUGGCUGUGGCCGCCUCUGGGGAGCAGGACUCGGACUGCGAUGGAGAGAUUCCCUUGUCAUUAAAUCCUCUCGGGACUGUUUGAGGUCGUUACUGUGUUCCUCUAUUAAUGUUUCAACAAACAAGUGGAUUAACAAAGUGACUGUGUGGGGACCGCAGUCGGAUGCAGAUGCUAGCUGGGAGGUCCAGGAAGGAAACACCCGGCAUAAGCUUGGCUAUGCAAGUGGAUUUUGCUUCUUUACAACUCAGCAUAAAGACAGCUAAUCGUUCUUAAAAUCCCUGUGGGCUGGUGCGGAUGGAGGCUAUGAGAUGCACGGGGCGCUUGCGGCCCACACCCCUUUAAGGCUCUGGUUCCCACACUUGAGCGGGCAUCAGAAUUGCCAGGAGGGCCCCACCCCACAGUCUCUGAUUCAAGAGGCCCGCCUGGGGCUCGAGCAUCUGCAUUUCUCGAAAGCUCCCAAGGGAUGCUGGCGCUGCUGGUCCAGGACUCCACGUUGAAGACCACAGCUUGGAGGGUUCCCACUCUAGCGCUGGUGUUUCUCUCCCCGGACAGCUUACAGCCCUUCCCCACAAAGCGCCAGGCAGCACUGGGGUUUCACCUGGCCUGCUGUUUCCCAGCUAACCGGGAGAGUGGAGCAGGGAUCCACCGGUGCUCAGCCGAGAAUCCCACGGGAAUGUCACGAGCAUCGGCGCCUAAGCUCCACCCCAGCCCGGUUACAUCAGAACCUUUCAGGGUGGGCUCAGCUUUGGGGGGAGCCUGAGCGCAGGCUGUGGGCAUGAGUAUCCUGGGGCUGACAUAGCACAGGACCGCAACCUGGGUGGCUGACAACGACAGACGUGUUCUCCCAGCUCGGGAGGCCUGACAUCCAAAACCAAGGUGGCUCUCGGCCAGGCUGGUCCCUCUGAGGGCUGUGAGGGAGGGACGCAUUCCAGGCCUCUCUCCUUGGCUUGCAGACGGCUGCCUUCUCUCUGUCUUUUCACAUCGUCCUCCCUCCAUGCACAGGUGUCUCUAUGUCCAAAUUUUACAAUAAGGACCCUGGUCACACCAGGUUAGGGCCUGCCCUCCUCCCGUAUGACCUCAUCUGAACUGACGAUGUCUGCAAUGGCCCUGUUUCCAAAUAAGGUCAUGUCCUGAGGUCCUGGGGUUUAGGUCUUCAACAUUUGAAUUUUGGGGGACAGAAUUCAACCCCAAACAGACUGGGUAUAAUGUUUGCUUCUCAGACUGUGAUGUGAGCUGAACUACUCUGGGACCUCGAGGAGGCACAGACUCUGAUUCAGUGGGUCUGGGAAAGGCCUGCGACUCAUUUCCAACCAGAGGCCCGAGAUUGAGGAUCAGAUUAUAUAAAAAAAUGACUGUUAAUGGUAUUGUGGUUGGGUAAGAAAGUGCCUUUUUUUUAACCAAGAGAUGCAG